rnacentral:piRNA from 1 species
UGGCAAUAAUAAUAAUAACCAAUGAAACAGA